CACGCAGCGGUUGUUAGUCAAAGAGAAUCCCAUACUUACGUGGAACUCAUUUAUACAGCAACGAGAGUUUGUAGAGGGGGUAGAUUGCAGUGUAGGGUGGAAUAUUAGAAUAUGAGGAAGACGGUGAAGAAGGGGCACCCUGGACAAAGCUGAGCGUCAGGGAGAAAGGUGGGGAGCAGACAGGAUUAGAUACCCUGGUAGUCCACGCUGUAAACGAUGUCGACUUGGAGGUUGUGCCCAUGAGGCGUGACUUCCGGAGCUAACGUAUUAAGUCGACCGCCUGGGGAGUGCGGCCGCAAGGUUAAAACUCAAAUGAAUUGACGGGGGCCCGCACAAGCGGUGGAGCAUGUGGUUUAAUUCGAUGCAACGAGAAGAACCUUACCUACUCUUGACAUCCACGGAAUUCGCCAGAGAUGGCUUAGGCCUUCGGGAACCGUGAGACAGGUGCUGCAUGGCUGUCGUCAGCUCGUGUUGUGAAAUGUUGGGUUAAGUCCCGCAACGAGCGCAACCCUUAUCCUUUGUU
rnacentral:rRNA from 1 species